UACGGGGGGGGCAAGCGUUGUUCGGAAUUACUGGGCGUAAAGGGCUCGUAGGCGGCCAACUAAGUCAGACGUGAAAUCCCUCGGCUUAACCGGGGAACUGCGUCUGAUACUGGAUGGCUUGAGUUUGGGAGAGGGAUGCGGAAUUCCAGGUGUAGCGGUGAAAUGCGUAGAUAUCUGGAGGAACACCGGUGGCGAAGGCGGCGACCUGGUCCGAUACUGACGCUGAGGCGCGAAAGCGUGGGGAGCAAACGGG
rnacentral:rRNA from 1 species